ACCCUCUCUCUCUUAGUUCUUUUACAGUUAGCUAAAAGUUGGAUUUUUUUUUUUGAAGGUUCAUGGUAUUAGAGUUGAACGGAUUAUGGUUCUUUUCGGAAAUUUUCAUACUAUGCUUUGAGUUUUAUGCGUACAAGUUAUGCUUGUGCUUUAUGUUCUAUACAUGAUAAGGUUAUUUCCCAUAUGAUCAUGUUAUGAUGUUCUAAGUGGAUGAAAAAAAAUGAGGUAUAUAGGGGAGUAUGUGCUACCUGAUUCCUUGUGGUUGGUGGAUUGGGAAAAACUCCCGCAUCUAAAGGUCUUUGAGAGGCAUAGCGACCUCCACUCACUCUCUUACUCUCGGUUGUGAAUUGUGGGGAGAAAGCAAGAAAUUUUGAAGUGGUGAGUGAAAGGGAGUUCGAAUGUGGUGUGGAGGGGCUUUUUAUAGGCUGAUUUUGUGUACUUUAGAGGGAGUUAAUGAGGCUGAUCUCCUUUUGUUUUUAUGCCCAGCAUAUCUCUUGUCUUUUGAUCCUCACUACUUUUUAUUAAUGAAACUUGGUGUUAGGCUUGGUUCCAAAACCUUGCAUUGAUGUGCUUUUGUUUGCUUUUGAAGUGUACAAGAAGGUUGCAGGGGCUGUUUUGAAGAGAGGGUGUUGCAGGUGGAACUGCAAGUCUCGGCUGCCACCUUGCUGCCUUGGGCCUGACGGGCUGCUCGAAACAGGUCGCGACUUGGGCUUAAAGAGGGAGGCCCGAAGUGAAAUAAAUGAAAUCCUAAUUUUCCUCUCAUCGCUUCAUUCAAACAUUUGUAAUUAGAUGCUAGUUCAUUAUGUAUGUAAGGUACUCGAACGCCUUUGGUUCGAAAAUAUUUUGUAUGCAUAUUCGAGGUUGUUUUGCUUGCUAA